GGUAAGAAGCGCAAGGCUAAAAGUAAUUACCAAAGUGCAAAUAAAAAAUUUAAAAAAACAGGGACAAGUACGGCAAAAGCAAAAGCUAAACCAACAGCGAAAGCAAAAGCAACGGCGAAAGUAAAGAGCAUAGCUGGUACAACUGCAAACGAGAGCAAAGGUCCAGGACUUGUAAGCUUUAAAGAUCCGUCUAGAUAUGUCAAACUUGGCUAAUGUAUAUCUUUGCACUUUGUACAUAUUUAUCUUUGUAAAGACGAUGCGUGUCUGUAAAAGUAUUGUAUAAGUUUUUUACAAGGAAACACUAAAAGUAUUCAUAUGUAGAAAGUUUUGUAAUAAAGCCUUUUGUAUUGAA